UUGGGGUUGCGGACAUAUCAUAACGAAGAGGUAUCGUAAUUGAAGAGGUUUGGAAAGACCCACCACAGAAGGUAAUAGUCCUGUAUGUUAAACGAGAAGACUUUAGAUAUGAUCCAGAGUACCACGGGACACGUGAAACCCUGUGGGAAGCAGGAGGGACCACCCUCCAAGGCUAAAUACUACCUAGUGACCGAUAGCGUAUAGUACCGUGAGGGAAAGGUGAAAAGAACCCCGGGAGGGGAGUGAAAUAGAACCUGAAACCCUGCACUUACAAGCUGUGGAAGCACAUUUCUUGUGUGACCGCGUACUUUUUGUAGAACGGGCCAACGAGUUACGUUAAGUAGCAAGGUUAAGCACUUAAGGUGCGGAGCCGUAGCGAAAGCGAGUUUUAACUGAGCGUUCAGUUACUUGACGUAGACCCGAAACCGGGCGACCUACCCAUGAGCAGGAUGAAGCGAAAGUAAAAUUUCGUGGAGGUCCGAACCCACGAGCGUUGAAAAGCUCGGGGAUGACUUGUGGGUAGCGGUGAAAUUCCAAUCGAGCCCGGAGAUAGCUGGUUCUCCCCGAAAUAGCUUUAGGGCUAGCCUCAAGGUGAGAGAUACGGAGGUAGAGCACUGAAUGUCCUAGGGGGUAUUGCACCUACCGAAGACUAUCAAACUCCGAAUGCCGUCAUCUUAUACUUGGGAGUCAGACUGUGGGUGAUAAGAUUCAUAGUCGAAAGGGCAACAGCCCAGAUCGUCAGCUAAGGUCCCUAAAUGUAAGUUAAGUGGUAAAGGAUGUGGGAUUGCACAGACAACCAGGAUGUUGGCUUAGAAGCAGCCACUCAUUCAAAGAGUGCGUAAUAGCUCACUGGUCGAGUGAUCCUGCGCCGAAGAUUUCCGGGGCUAAAACUUACUACCGAAGCUACGGCAUCAGUAAUGAUGGGUAGGGGAGCUUCCCAUACGGGUUGAAGCAUGACCGUAAGGACAUGUGGACAGUAUGGGAGUGAGAAUGUUGGCAUGAGUAGCGAGAUGUGGGUGAGAAUCCCACAGGCCGUAAACCCAAGGUUUCCAGGGGAAGGUUCGUCCGCCCUGGGUUAGUCGGGACCUAAGCUGAGGCCGAAAGGCGUAGGUGAUGGACAACAGGUUGAUAUUCCUGUACUACCGAUAACCGUUUGAGAGAAGGGAUGACACAGUAGGAUAAGCUAAGCACACUGUUGGUUAUGUGUGCCCAAGCAUUGAGGCAGUCAAAGUAGGCAAAUCCGCUUUGAUAAUGCUGGGAUGUGAUGGGGAGCGAAAUUUAGUAGCGAAGUAGCUGAUUUCACACUGUCAAGAAAAGUCUCUAUCGAGGUUAAAGGUACCCGUACCGCAAACCGACACAGGUGGGUGAGGAGAGUAUCCUAAGGCCAGCGAGAGAACUGUUGUUAAGGAACUCGGCAAAAUGACCCCGUAACUUAGGGAUAAGGGGUGCCACCAUCAGGUGGCCGCAGAGAAUAGGCCCAAGCGACUGUUUACCAAAAACAUAGGUUUCUGCUAAGUCGCAAGACGAUGUAUAGGAGCUGACGCCUGCCCGGUGCUGGAAGGUUAAGGGGAUCUGUUAGAGCAAUCGAAGCAGUGAACUUAAGCCCCAGUAAACGGCGGCCGUAACUAUAACGGUCCUAAGGUAGCGAAAUUCCUUGUCGGGUAAGUUCCGACCCGCACGAAAGGCGUAACGAUUUGGGCACUGUCUCAACAACAGACUCGGUGAAAUUGUAAUUCCGGUGAAGAUGCCGGAUACCUGCGACAGGACGGAAAGACCCCAUGGAGCUUUACUGUAGCUUGACAUUGGGUCUUGGUACUACAUGUACAGGAUAGGUGGGAGGCUUUGAAACCAGGACGCCAGUUUUGGCGGAGCCAUCCUUGGGAUACCACCCUUGUAGUACUGGGACUCUAACCAUAGGCCAUGAAUCUGGUCUUGGGACACUGUCAGGUGGGCAGUUUGACUGGGGCGGUCGCCUCCCAAAAGGUAACGGAGGCGCUCAAAGGUUCUCUCAGUACGGUCGGAAAUCGUACGUAGAGUGUAAAGGCAAAAGAGAGCUUGAUUGCAAGACAUACAGGUCGAGCAAGGAUGAAAAUCGGACUUAGUGAUCCGGUGGUUCUGCGUGGAAGGGCCAUCGCUCAACGGAUAAAAGCUACCCUGGGGAUAACAGGCUUAUCUCCCCCAAGAGUCCACAUCGACGGGGAGGUUUGGCACCUCGAUGUCGGCUCAUCACAUCCUGGGGCUGUAGUAGGUCCCAAGGGUUGGGCUGUUCGCCCAUUAAAGUGGUACGCGAGCUGGGUUCAGAACGUCGUGAGACAGUUCGGUCCCUAUCCGUCGCAGGCGUAGGAAAUUUGAGAAGACCUGUCCUUAGUACGAGAGGACCGGGAUGGACGUACCUCUGGUGUACCAGUUGUCCUGCCAAGGGCAUGGCUGGGUAGCUAUGUACGGAAUGGAUAAGCGCUGAAAGCAUCUAAGCGCGAAGCCAACUUCAAGAUAAGAUUUCCCACCGCAAGGGUAAGACCCCAGAAAGACUAUCUGGUUGAUAGGUCGAAGGUGUAAGUGCAGCAAUGUAUUUAGCUUAUCGAUACUAAUAGGUCGAGGACUUGACC
rnacentral:rRNA from 1 species